GAAAUGCGAUAAGUAGUGUGAAUUGCAGAAUUCAGUGAAUCAUCGAAUCUUUGAACGCACAUUGCGCCCCUUGGUAUUCCAUGGGGCAUGCCUGUUCGAGCGUCAUUUCAACCAUCAAGCCCCCGGGCUUGUGUUGGGGACCUGCGGCUGCCCGCAGGCCCUGAAAACCAGUGGCGGGCUCGCUGUCACACCGAGCGUAGUAGCAAUCACCUCGCUCAGGGCGUGCUGCGGGUUCCGGCCGUUAAACAGCCUUACAAAACCCAAGGUUGACCUCGGAUCAGGUAGGAAGACCCGCUGAACUUAAGC
rnacentral:misc_RNA from 1 species